GUCUUUUUUUUCUUCGUAUUUUCGCUCCAUUUCACCUAGAUGGAAGAAGAGAAAUUUAUUAAUAUUUAACUAAAAUAAAAUAAUAAAUAAUAAAAGAAAAUAAAGGAAAAUAAUAAAUAAAAAUAAAAAUAAAGAUUGGGUUGCCUCCCAACAAGCGCUUGUUUAACGUCGCUAGCUUGACGCCUCAACUAGUAUUGGGGCUGUUCCAGCUGAAUUCUUUUGUUCUUAUGAGCUUGGAAAUUCUCAUUUUUUAACACGUCCACCAUAUUUGGGUUUAAUUGUCCUUGCGCCUCUUUCUUUGGUUCCGUAUUUUCC
rnacentral:lncRNA from 1 species